AACGAACGCUGGCGGCAGGCUUAACACAUGCAAGUCGAGCGCCCCGCAAGGGGAGCGGCAGACGGGUGAGUAACGCGUGGGAAUCUACCCAUCUCUACGGAAUAACGCAUGGAAACGUGUGCUAAUACCGUAUACGUCCUUCGGGAGAAAGAUUUAUCGGAGAUGGAUGAGCCCGCGUUGGAUUAGCUAGUUGGUGGGGUAAAGGCCUACCAAGGCGACGAUCCAUAGCUGGUCUGAGAGGAUGAUCAGCCACACUGGGACUGAGACACGGCCGAGGGUCCUACGGGAGGCAGCAGUGGGGAAUAUUGGACAAUGGGCGCAAGCCUGAUCCAGCCAUGCCGCGUGAGUGAUGAAGGCCCUAGGGUUGUAAAGCUCUUUCACCGGUGAAGAUAAUGACGGUAACCGGAGAAGAAGCCCCGGCUAACUUCGUGCCAGCAGCCGCCGCCGUAA
rnacentral:rRNA from 1 species